GGUGAACCUGCAGAUGGAUCAUUUCGAUGAAAACCUUUUUUUUCUGAGGUGUGGCUCGCACCUGUCCAACUAAACUUGAGCUACCUUUUUCAACACGGUUGCAUCGGUCGGCCUGUCAAACAGCGCGAGGGGGAGAUUUUUUCUUUUUCCCGCUUGCGGUUGGGCGACGAGCCGGCACUCUACCAUAAACACUUUUUGAUAAUCUAGGAUUUGAAGGAAGAAAGUUCAUUUUUUACGAUGACAUCCGACUGGUAAUGCGGUCGACUAAAAUCUAAAAAACAACUUUUGGCAACGGAUCUCUUGGUUCUCCCAUCGAUGAAGAACGCAGCGAAUUGCGAUAAGUAAUGUGAAUUGCAGAAGUGAAUCAUCGAAUCUUUGAACGCACCUUGCGCUCCCGGCAGAUCUAAUCUGGGGAGCAUGCCUGUUUGAGGGCCGCGAAUUGUUUCGAACGCACGCUUUUUUCAUUAGAAGCGGGCGGAUCGGUAGUGAGGGUAUCUGCCAUUUACCGUGGCUCCCUCGAAAUGCAUUAGCGCAUCCAUUUGAUAGGCAAAGACGGACGAAAGCUCGCUUUUACGGCCCCUCUCUUUCCCUGCCGGGUUUUGAUAAUAUCAGGACUUCGGAGGCGUGAAGAGAGGCACGGUCUCGAGCUGGACGCAACGACUUUGCUGGUUGGCGUGCUUCUGAACCCCGCCCAGGCCUCGUUCGCGAGGGAAGGGAUUUAUUUCAAUUCAUCGGCCUCAGAUUGGUAGGACUACCCGCUGAACUUAAGCAUAUCAAUAAGCGGAGGA
rnacentral:rRNA from 1 species